CAUGAUUUAGAAAGCAACCUAUCCUUAAUGCAAAGCCAUUCACUUGAUCAAUUGAUCAAGAUGAAUUAGAUUUGAAUCAAGGAAGAUUAAACCUCCCUAAUCAAUGCUAACUUAUCAACCUUUAACUCAUUGAUCAAAAAGAAAAAAAAAGAAGAAGGAGAUGAAUAAUGGAUAAUGGAAAAGGAAAGAAUAAAGUGCAUUAAGAUGAAAUAAAAUGUACCAAUCCAUGUGUGUUGACCAAAUGACAUUGAAAGUC
rnacentral:lncRNA from 1 species